GCUAGCAGGAGCUCAAGGCCACAGCCCAGGGCUGGAGGCUCAGAGGCCGGGAACAGAUGAAGAUAAAGUUGAUAUCACCUGGACCUCACCAUCCAUCUUAAAGAAAAUAGACAUCUGGUCCCAAGCCCACAAGGAAGAAGCUGAAUUGCAAAGACAAGAGCCUCACAAACCUGACCCAAAAAGCUCUUUGCUGGAUCUCCUAAAACCUCAGACAGUGCAGAAGGAAGAGCUGGUAACUGUGCAACCCACAGACCUUUCUGCCAGGGAGUUUG